GAUGAACGCUGGCGGCGUGCCUAAUACAUGCAAGUCGAGCGAACAGACGAGGAGCUUGCUCCUCUGACGUUAGCGGCGGACGGGUGAGUAACACGUGGAUAACCUACCUAUAAGACUGGGAUAACUUCGGGAAACCGGAGCUAAUACCGGAUAAUAUAUUGAACCGCAUGGUUCAAUAGUGAAAGACGGUUUUGCUGUCACUUAUAGAUGGAUCCGCGCCGCAUUAGCUAGUUGGUAAGGUAACGGCUUACCAAGGCAACGAUGCGUAGCCGACCUGAGAGGGUGAUCGGCCACACUGGAACUGGGGCACGGUCCAGACUCCUACGGGGGGCAGCAGUAGGGAAUCUUCCGCAAUUGGCGAAAGCUUGACGGAGCAACGCCGCGUGAGUGAUGAAGGUCUUCGGAUCGUAAAACUCUGUUAUUAGGGAAGAACAAAUGUGUAAGUAACUAUGCACGUCUUGACGGUACCUUAUCAGAAAGCCACGGCUAACUACGUG
rnacentral:rRNA from 1 species